AGCACUCCACCAAAUCGAUUUUCAGUAAACCCCAAAUGUGUUAAACUACUACAAUUGGUCAAUGUGUUGACAAAAUUCAAGUCAUCGACCUCUCCACUUCCCAAAUGAUUCCCAUCCAAUGAAAAGUGAAG